rnacentral:rRNA from 1 species
UACGAAGGGGGCUAGCGUUGUUCGGAAUUACUGGGCGUAAAGCGCACGUAGGCGGACUACUAAGUCAGGGGUGAAAUCCCGGGGCUCAACCCCGGAACUGCCUUUGAUACUGAUAGUCUCGAGUCCGGAAGAGGUGAGUGGAAUUCCGAGUGUAGAGGUGAAAUUCGUAGAUAUUCGGAGGAACACCAGUGGCAAAGGCGGCUCACUGGUCCGGUACUGACGCUGAGGUGCGAAAGCGUGGGGAGCAAACAGG